CCUACGGGAGGCAGCAGUAGGGAAUCUUCCACAAUGGGCGAAAGCCUGAUGGAGCAACGCCGCGUGGGUGAAGAAGGUCUUCGGAUCGUAAAACCCUGUUGUUAGAGAAGCAAAUGCGUGAGAGUAACUGUUCACGUUUCGACGGUAUCUAACCAGAAAGCCACGGUUAACUACGUGCCAGCAGCCGCGGUAAUAAGUAGGUGGCAAGCGUUAUCCGAUUUUAUUGGGCGUAAAGGGAACGCAGGCGGUCUGUUAAGUCUGAGGUGAAAGCCUUCGGCUUAACCGGAGUAGUGCAUUGGAAACUGGGAGACUUGAGUGCAGAAGAGGAGAGUGGAAUUCGAUGUGUAGCGGUGAAAUGCGUAGAUAUAUGGAAGAACACCAGUGGCGAAAGCGGCUUUCUGGUCUGUAACUGACGCUGAGGUUCGAAAGCGUGGGUAGCAAACAGGAUUAGAUACCCUGGUAGUC
rnacentral:rRNA from 1 species